AGUCGAACGGUAACAGGUCUUCGGAUGCUGACGAGUGGCGAACGGGUGAGUAAUACAUCGGAACGUGCCCGAGAGUGGGGGAUAACGAAGCGAAAGCUUUGCUAAUACCGCAUACGAUCUCAGGAUGAAAGCAGGGGACCGCAAGGCCUUGCGCUCACGGAGCGGCCGAUGGCAGAUUAGGUAGUUGGUGGGAUAAAAGCUUACCAAGCCGACGAUCUGUAGCUGGUCUGAGAGGACGACCAGCCACACUGGGACUGAGACACGGCCCAGACUCCUACGGGAGGCAGCAGUGGGGAAUUUUGGACAAUGGGCGCAAGCCUGAUCCAGCCAUGCCGCGUGCAGGAUGAAGGCCUUCGGGUUGUAAACUGCUUUUGUACGGAACGAAAAGACUCUGGUUAAUACCUGGGGUCCAUGACGGUACCGUAAGAAUAAGCACCGGCUAACUACGUGCCAGCAGCCGCGGUAAUACGUAGGGUGCAAGCGUUAAUCGGAAUUACUGGGCGUAAAGCGUGCGCAGGCGGUUAUAUAAGACAGAUGUGAAAUCCCCGGGCUCAACCUGGGAACUGCAUUUGUGACUGUAUAGCUAGAGUACGGUAGAGGGGGAUGGAAUUCCGCGUGUAGCAGUGAAAUGCGUAGAUAUGCGGAGGAACACCGAUGGCGAAGGCAAUCCCCUGGACCUGUACUGACGCUCAUGCACGAAAGCGUAGGGAGCAAACAGGAUUAGAUACCCUGGUAGUCCACGCCCUAAACGAUGUCAACUGGUUGUUGGGUCUUCACUGACUCAGUAACGAAGCUAACGCGUGAAG
rnacentral:rRNA from 1 species